rnacentral:rRNA from 1 species
GAUGAACGCUGGCGGCGUGCCUAAUACAUGCAAGUCGAGCGAACUGAUUAGAAGCUUGCUUCUAUGACGUUAGCGGCGGACGGGUGAGUAACACGUGGGCAACCUGCCUGUAAGACUGGGAUAACUUCGGGAAACCGAAGCUAAUACCGGAUAGGAUCUUCUCCUUCAUGGUAGAUGAUUGAAAGAUGGUUUCGGCUAUCACUUACAGAUGGGCCCGCGGUGCAUUAGCUAGUUGGUGAGGUAACGGCUCACCAAGGCAACGAUGCAUAGCCGACCUGAGAGGGUGAUCGGCCACACUGGGACUGAGACACGGCCCAGACUCCUACGGGAGGCAGCAGUAGGGAAUCUUCCGCAAUGGACGAAAGUCUGACGGAGCAACGCCACGUGAGUGAUGAAGGCUUUCGGGUCGUAAAACUCUGUUGUUAGGGAAGAACAAGUACAAGAGUAACUGCUUGUACCUUGACGGUACCUAACCAGAAAGCCACGGCUAACUACGUGCCAGCAGCCGCAGUAACAC